rnacentral:pre_miRNA from 1 species
AUUCGCUAGAUGAGUGUGAGGCGUUGAAUUGAUUUAACUCAAUCUGAGCCCCACAUUAAUCAAGGGGUUCGU